ACCAAAUCUGGGUUUCCUCACAUAGGAUUUUCUCAAAGCGAAGAUUGAUUGAAAUGGAUUUUAAAUUCUGUGUUGUCUUAGGUGACCUCUCCUGGGUUAUGCAGUUGGCCCGGGUGAGACCUGGUCACUGGUUUGUUUGGAAAGUUUCCUGGUGAUUCUAACGUGCAUCCCAGGCUGAAAAGCAGCCCUGGUGUCUGAUUUUGUUAUUCCUGCUCUCCCAGAGCUGCCCAGGCACCUGUCUCCGCAAUCUCGUCUUCAGGCUCAUCUCAGAACCACUUCAAAAUGGCUCUGAUUCCAGGUGCUGAGAAAGCCAGGCCAAGGAUAAAAUGGGGCAAAGGUCAGUUUCUGCCCUCUUCAGUCACCCACCUUCUCUGGAGCAAGUGGGACGCCUGCCCCAGGGAGGUCCCGGAGGAGCCGGCUGAGGAACUUUGAAAGGAGGUGAUUACGUUGCAGAAAUUGAGAGAAUCUUCCACCCUCCCCAGCGCUGGGCUCAACCCACCUCUCCUCAGAAGGUGCAGAGGCUCCAGUGCCUGCCAGGGAGCACCGGAUUCUGUGCGAAAAGCGGGCUUUGUGAUCAGAGAGCCAGGAUUUAAUUACCACCCCACUUACUUGCUGUGUGACCUUGGGUGAAUUUCUUAACCUCUCUGAGUUUAUCAAUCAAAUUACUGCACAGUAAUAUCAAAUACGUAUGUGGUACAGAGGGGG
rnacentral:lncRNA from 1 species